rnacentral:rRNA from 1 species
GAUGAACGCUGGCGGCGUGCCUAAUACAUGCAAGUCGAGCGAACAGACGAGGAGCUUGCUCCUCUGACGUUAGCGGCGGACGGGUGAGUAACACGUGGAUAACCUACCUAUAAGACUGGGAUAACUUCGGGAAACCGGAGCUAAUACCGGAUAAUAUAUUGAACCGCAUGGUUCAAUAGUGAAAGACGGUUUUGCUGUCACUUAUAGAUGGAUCCGCGCCGCAUUAGCUAGUUGGUAAGGUAACGGCUUACCAAGGCAACGAUGCGUAGCCGACCUGAGAGGGUGAUCGGCCACACUGGAACUGAGACACGGUCCAGACUACUACGGGAGGCAGCAGUAGGGAAUCUUCCGCAAAGGGCGAAAGCCUGACGGAGCAACGCCGCGUGAGUGAUGAAGGUCUUCGGAUCGUAAAACUCUGUUAUUAGGGAAGAACAAAUGUGUAAGUAACUAUGCACGUCUUGACGGUACCUAAUCAGAAAGCCACGGCUAACUACGUG